CCUACGGGUGGCAGCAGUGGGGAAUUUUCCGCAAUGGGCGAAAGCCUGACGGAGCAACGCCGCGUGAGGGAUGAAGGCCUCUGGGCUGUAAACCUCUUUUAUCAAGGAAGAAGAUCUGACGGUACUUGAUGAAUAAGCCACGGCUAAUUCCGUGCCAGCAGCCGCGGUAAUACGGGAGUGGCAAGCGUUAUCCGGAAUUAUUGGGCGUAAAGCGUCCGCAGGCGGUCUUUUAAGUCUGUUGUUAAAGCGUGGAGCUUAACUCCAUUUCAGCAAUGGAAACUGGAAGACUAGAGUGUGGUAGGGGCAGAGGGAAUUCCCGGUGUAGCGGUGAAAUGCGUAGAUAUCGGGAAGAACACCAGUGGCGAAGGCGCUCUGCUGGGCCAUAACUGACGCUCAUGGACGAAAGCCAGGGGAGCGAAAGGGAUUAGAUACCCCAGUAGUC
rnacentral:rRNA from 1 species